CAACGGCCGCGGUACUCUGACCGUGCAAAGGUAGCAUAAUCAUUUGCCCUAUAAUUAAGGGCUAGUAUGAACGGUCUAACAAGAAUGGAACUGUCUCUUUUAAAAUCCUUAGAAUUUGGUCUUUAGGUGAAGAAACCUAAAUUAUAUUGAUAGACAAGAAGACCCUAUCGAGCUUUAAAACAAUUAGUUAAACAAAUAGAUAACACCAAUUUUAACUAAAAAUUUUGGUUGGGGCGACUAAGGAACAAACAAAGCUUCCUUAAUAAAUUCUACACUAAUAAGUAAUGAUCCAAAAUAUUUGAUUAAUAAAAUUAGUUACCGUAGGGAUAACAGCAUAAUCUUCUUCAAGAGUUCUUAUCGAAAAGAAUGUUUGUGACCUCGAUGUUGGACUAGGAUAUCCAAAAGAUGCAGAAGUCUUUAAAGGUUGGUCUGUUCGACCAAUAAAAUCCUACGUGAU
rnacentral:rRNA from 1 species